UACGUAGGGGCCUAGCGUUGUCCGGAUUUAUUGGGCGUAAAGAGCUCGUAGGCGGUUUGGUGAGUCGGGUGUGAAAUCUCCACGCUCAACGUGGAGGAGCCACCCGAUACUGCCAUGACUAGAGUCCGGUAGGGGAGUGUGGAAUUCCCGGUGUAGCGGUGAAAUGCGCAGAUAUCGGGAGGAACACCAGUGGCGAAGGCGGGUCUCUGGGCCGAUACUGACGCUGAGGAGCGAAAGCGUGGGGAGCGAACAGG
rnacentral:rRNA from 1 species